rnacentral:rRNA from 1 species
UACAGAGGGGGCAAGCGUUGUUCGGAAUUACUGGGCGUAAAGGGCGCGUAGGUGGCCUUCUAAGUUGAACGUGAAAUCCCUGGGCUCAACCCAGGAACUGCGUCCAGGACUGGGAGGCUUGAAUCCGGGAGAGGGAUGCGGAAUUCCAGGUGUAGCGGUGAAAUGCGCAGAUAUCAGGAGGAACACCAAUGGCGAAGGCAGCUCGCUGGGACGGUACUGACGCUGAGACGCGAAAGCGUGGGGAGCAAACAGG